rnacentral:rRNA from 1 species
CAGCUACACAUGCAGUCGAGCGGCAGCGGGAAAGUAGCUUGCUACUUUUGCCGGCGAGCGGCGGACGGGUGAGUAAUGCCUGGGGAUCUGCCCAGUCGAGGGGGAUAACUACUGGAAACGGUAGCUAAUACCGCAUACGCCCUACGGGGGAAAGCAGGGGACCUUCGGGCCUUGCGCGAUUGGAUGAACCCAGGUGGGAUUAGCUAGUUGGUGAGGUAACGGCUCACCAAGGCGACGAUCCCUAGCUGGUCUGAGAGGAUGAUCAGCCACACUGGAACUGAGACACGGUCCAGACUCCUACGGGAGGCAGCAGUGGGGAAUAUUGCACAAUGGGGGAAACCCUGAUGCAGCCAUGCCGCGUGUGUGAAGAAGGCCUUCGGGUUGUAAAGCACUUUCAGCGAGGAGGAAAGGUCAGUAGCUAAUAUCUGCUGGCUGUGACGUUACUCGCAGAAGACGCACCGGCUAACUCCGUGCCAGCAGCCGCGGUAAUACGGAGGGUGCGAGCGUUAAUCGGAAUUACUGGGCGUAAAGCGCACGCAGGCGGCUGGAUAAGUUAGAUGUGAAAGCCCCGGGCUCAACCUGGGAAUUGCAUUUAAAACUGUCCAGCUAGAGUCUUGUAGAGGGGGGUAGAAUUCCAGGUGUAGCGGUGAAAUGCGUAGAGAUCUGGAGGAAUACCGGUGGCGAAAGCGGCCCCCUGGACAAAGA